GUCAGAUGCCAGAGAUAAAACUG
rnacentral:piRNA from 1 species